UACGGGGGGAGCAAGCGUUGUUCGGAUUUACUGGGCGUAAAGGGCGCGUAGGCGGCGUAACAAGUCACUUGUGAAAUCUCCGGGCUUAACUCGGAGCGGCCAAGUGAUACUGUUGUGCUAGAGUGCGGAAGGGGCUACUGGAAUUCUCGGUGUAGCGGUGAAAUGCGUAGAUAUCGAGAGGAACACCUGCGGCGAAGGCGGGUAGCUGGGCCGACACUGACGCUGAGGUGCGAGAGCGUGGGGAGCGAACCGG
rnacentral:rRNA from 1 species